rnacentral:rRNA from 1 species
ACUUGAAUUGAAGAGUUUGAUCAUGGCUCAGAUUGAACGCUGGCGGCAGGCUUAACACAUGCAAGUCGAACGGUAACAUAAAGAAGCUUGCUUCUUUGAUGACGAGUGGCGGACGGGUGAGUAAUGCUUGGGAAUCUAGCUUAUGGAGGGGGAUAACUACGGGAAACUGUAGCUAAUACCGCGUAGUAUCGAGAGAUGAAAGUGUGGGACCUUCGGGCCACAUGCCAUAGGAUGAGCCCAAGUGGGAUUAGGUAGUUGGUGAGGUAAAGGCUCACCAAGCCGACGAUCUCUAGCUGGUCUGAGAGGAUGACCAGCCACACUGGGACUGAGACACGGCCCAGACUCCUACGGGAGGCAGCAGUGGGGAAUAUUGCGCAAUGGGGGCAACCCUGACGCAGCCAUGCCGCGUGAAUGAAGAAGGCCUUCGGGUUGUAAAGUUCUUUCGGUAGCGAGGAAGGCAUUUAGUUUAAUAGACUAGGUGAUUGACGUUAACUACAGAAGAAGCACCGGCUAACUCCGUGCCAGCAGCCGCGG